AGAUUGGACAGCUUAGUGGGUUUGUUUGGAGCUGGAUGCCAGCCAAGUUCUUCGAACGAUCCAUUUGGACUGAGAAGGAUCUCCUAUGGACUGGUCCAAAUAUUGGUUGAGAACAAGAAGAACUUUGAUCUCACGAAGGCCUUGACCUUGGUGGCAGAGGUGCAGCCUAUCAGAAUAGACAGUGACAUCAUAAAUGAGGUAGUACAAUUUGUAACACGGAGACUGGAACAACUUUUGGUGGAUGAAGGAAUUAACUAUGAAAUAGUCCGGUCAGUGCUUAUGGAGCGUGCAAACUGCCCUUAUCUAGCAUCACAAACGGCAGCUGAAGUAAGAAAUCAUAUAGUGCUAAA
rnacentral:rRNA from 1 species